UUGUUCAGGAGCAGCUUGUCAAGAGGAAUGUGACAUUUGAAGCCCAGGUCCAGGAUCCGUCCACUCCUUGGUUUGGCUGGCUCUUGAUGCGCUGACU